GCCUUCGUGGUGUACUGGUCAGCGCGCUCGACGCGUAAUCGAGAGCUCCAUGGUUCGAUUCCCGGCGAAGGCA
rfam:Stegodyphus mimosarum contig908, whole genome shotgun sequence.